rnacentral:rRNA from 1 species
AGUGGAUGGGGAGCAACCUAGUUGUGCGUGUGUAAAGGUAGUGCCAAGAAAAGCGAUGAUCAUGUUGAAAAUCAAUUCCCGGUACCCGAAACCGACACAGGUGGGCAAGUAGAGAAUACUAAGGGGCGCGAGGUAACUCUCUCCAAGGAACUCGGCAAAAUGACCCCGUAACUUAGGGAGAAGGGGUGCCACCGAGAGGUGGUCGCAGUGAAGAGGCCCAGGCGACUGUUUAGCAAAAACAUAGGUCUCUGCAAACUCGAAAGAGGAGGUAUAGGGGCUGACGCCUGCCCAGUGCCGGAAGGUUAAAGAAGUUGGUCAGUUUUAGGAUGAAGCUAGCGACUGAAGCCCCGGUGAACGGCGGCCGUAACUAUAACGGUCCUAAGGUAGCGAAAUUCCUUGUCGGGUAAGUUCCGACCCGCACGAAAGGCGUAACGAUCUGGGCGCUGUCUCGGAGAGAGGCUCGGCGAAAUAGGAUUGUCUGUGAAGAUACGGACUACCUGCAUUUGGACAGAAAGACCCUAUGAAGCUUUACUAUAGCUUGGAAUUGUGUUCGGGCUUCCUGUGCGCAGGAUAGGUGGGAGGCGUAGAAGGUAUUCUUGUGGGGAUACUGGAGCCAACGGUGAGAUACCACUCUCAGGAGGCUAGAAUUCUAACUUAAUUAAGGACAGUUUCAGGUGGGUAGUUUGACUGGGGCGGUCGCCUCCAAAAAGGUAACGGAGGCGUACAAAGGUUCCCUCAGACUGGUUGGAAAUCAGUCGAAGAGUGCAAAGGCAGAAGGGAGCUUGACUGCGAGAAGUACAGUUCGAGCAGGGUGGAAACACGGUCUUAGUGAUCCGACGGUGCUGUGUGGAAGGGCCGUCGCUCAACGGAUAAAAGUUACUCUAGAUAACAGGCUGAUCUCCCCCAAGAGUUCACAUCGACGGGGAGGUUUGGCACCUCGAUGUCGGCUCAUCGCAACCUGGGGCGGAAGUACGUCCCAAGGGUUGGGCUGUUCGCCCAUUAAAGCGGUACGUGAGCUGGGUUCAGAACGUCGUGAGACAGUUCGGUCCAUAUCCGAUGUAGGCGUGAGAAUAUUGAGAGGAGCCUUCCUUAGUACGAGAGGACCGGGAAGGACGCACCGCUGGUGUACCUGUUAUGAUGCCAAUUGUAAACGCAGGGUAGCCAAGUGCGGAGAGGAUAACCGCUGAAAGCAUCUAAGUGGGAAGCCCACCUCAAGAUGAGUAUUCUGGUGUAAGGUCACGGGAAGACGACCCGUAAAUAGGCACGAGGUGGAAGUGCAGAGAUGUAUGAAGCCGAAGUGUACUAAUAGACCGUCGGCUUGACC